AUUAUUGAACACUUAUACAUUUUUGAAUGAUUACAAUUUAAGGUUUGCUUUUUUUUAAUAGCUAGUAAACUAGUAAUAAGACAUUCUCAACGAUUAUGAUUUAAGCAGUGUAUUAGUAGUUAGUAUGCUACACUCCAAGAAAAGGUUGUAAAAAUAGGGCACAAUCUACUAUGUUAAUAUGAAAGAAUUUUACGUAUUGCUUUUUUACCUGCAUUUUAAAUUACGCAUUGUGUUUUCGGGUUACAGGGUUACAGUGGAUAAUGGAUAACGUCCUGGAAAAUUACUAGCAGCCUAUAUUUUCCAUUUUUCUUACAGCAUACUAACUGAUCAACAAUCGCAAGUACAAGCUAUAACAAAGUGUAGCCUAUCAUAAAUGAACAAUUAUUCAGUUGUUAUUAUUAUUAUUAUUAUUAUAUUGAAGAAAUGCAAAUAGCAGCUAAUUCAAUUCACGUGAUGUGUGUACUGCUAGGCAUCUUUGGUUUUCUUUUUGUGUAAUUAGGAUGGAAAAUGUGUGUCUUUUUAUUGCCUGAGUCACUUAUCAAAAGUUGCUAAAAGUUGCCAAAUAAAUUUUAAAAAAUUGCUAAAUUUGUUGCUAGGUGCUUUUGGAAGAAAAAGUUGCUAGGGUAGUCUGAAAAGUUGCUAAAUUUAGCAACAAAAUUGCUAAGUUGGCAACACUGGUUGUGACGUUCGCGAACGAACCGAUUCUUUUGAACGGCUCAUAAACAUGAACGAUGGGAGCCGAGUCGCGGCUGGGGGGGGAGCCGUUCUUUCUGUCGUUCUUUUUUUCCUAUGCGUGUUUCACACAGAUGCACACAAAUUAGCUCCUCCGCGAGACAGAACAGUUAUAGGGGGAGGGGCUACUGCCUAACAGCAUGAUGAUAGUUGUGCACGCAUCCUUCACUUGAGUACUCCAGUGGAAAAAAAUCCUGCGUGCCUCUGUCAUUGGGUAGGGGCGGAGUUUAAAAAAUUAAAAAAAAAACACGUGCGAGUGCCUCUCUGUCUCAGUGCCAACGUCAGUAAUAGCGGGUCGUUCGAAGGAAGAAGACACACACGUGACACGUCUGAAAAUGAGCCAGAGGAAAAGGAGCAGCAUUUGAUUCAGGUGGUGGGCUGGUCUUGAGCAUUACACUCCCGGGCUGAAAACUGAUCCCACUCCGGCCCUGACAGUGACACUGAUGUGUCCAUUGCCUCCUCUGCCUCCACAUCAAGUGCAACUGCAGCCACAGCAGCCUCUGACCCCACUGGGCCCACCACAUCGCCAGUAAUAGUGGACUCAUACAUCACUAAGUGAUGCUCCAGGACACAUCAUCAUCAGUAAUGUUUCUUGGGGCCAUCAGGUGUUUUCGAGUCUUUCAACAACCAUACACCCUUUACCAGAUGACCCAGCCAGGACUGACUGCCUCCUGAUCCACAACCACCAUGCAGGAACCUCCGUUGCCUCCGUGGCUGACUUAAUGCAUCGUUGCCUGCAGGCCCCUCUGAUGCCCAGCAUGUCAUAGACUCUGCAACCAACCUCAAUUGGCUUGUACCUUGCAACAAGCCAUUGCUCCGGCACUCUUCUACCAGUUCAGUAGACUUGGUUCUCUUCCUCUCAUUGGUCUCCUCAAUACGGUCCUCCCAGGGAACUGUGAGUUCUGAAAGGAUGAUCUGCUUGGAGGCUUCUGAGAUCGGAACCUUGUCUGGCCUUAGCCAUGGCAGCAGUUUCUGGGAACAUCAGUUGCUUUCCCAGGUCAACUUUCAGCUCUGAGUCCUGUGCUGUUGAAAGCAGGCCAAAGGAAGUAGUCCUGUAGGUGGUGUUACCUUCUCCCCAGCCUUGACAAAAGUUACAGUCUUCUUCACUGGAGGUAGGCACUUGCAGUGAGUGAUCCCACUGGAGAUGGUAUCUGCAAUGGCUUUCUGGCCUUCUAAGUCCCUCUCAUCAGGCACAGAGGGAAAGAACAAGUUGGAAGGGCUUGGUAGUACAUCGUAGACAGCCUGUAUUAGGAAUUUUAUUCAGUGGGGCUCGGAUUUCAAAAGCCCAGCCCAAGUGACUUUGAACAACACCAUUUGUUUCCACCUUGUCCAGGCUUCCUGCUGCUGCAUCUCAACCAUCCUGCUGGCUCUCACUUCCUUGAGCAAUGCUCGUACCUAAUUUUGGAGCUGCUACCUCCUCCUUGCCUUGCCAUAGCAAAAUGUCAUGUUACUACCCAGGCCUGUUCUUCCUUGAGCCACUGUGCCCACCAACACCCUUUGCUCCAAACUUGAUUCAGCAACA